rnacentral:rRNA from 1 species
UACGGAGGGUGCAAACGUUGCUCGGAAUCAUUGGGCGUAAAGCGCACGUAGGCGGCUCGUUAAGUCGGAUGUGAAAGCCCUCGGCUCAACCGAGGAAGUGCAUACGAAACUGGCGAGCUUGAAUAUGGAAGAGGGUCGCGGAAUUCCCGGUGUAGAGGUGAAAUGCGUAGAGAUCGGCAGGAACACCCAGGGGGAAACCAGGCGACUGGGCAGCACCUGACGCUGAGGUGCGAGAGCGUGGGGAGCGAACCGG